rnacentral:rRNA from 1 species
AGCGUAGGUGGUUCGGUAAGUCAGAUGUGAAAGCCCGGGGCUCAACCCCGGGACUGCAUUUGAAACUAUCGAACUAGAGUGCAGGAGAGGUAAGUGGAAUUCCUAGUGUAGCGGUGAAAUGCGUAGAUAUUAGGAGGAACACCAGUGGCGAAGGCGGCUUACUGGACUGUAACUGACACUGAGGCUCGAAAGCGUGGGGAGCAAACA